GGUAGGUAGCGGAGAAGGACAGGUUAAUCAACGUAGUGAUGGUAGGUAGCGGAGAAGGACAGGUUAAUCAACAUAGUGAUGGUAGGUAGCGGAGAAGGACAGGUUAAUCAACAUAGUGGAGAAGGACAGGUUCAUUAGUUAUAACGAGCAGCCAGGGGGGAAACGCUGUAUUAGUUAUUUGGCUAUUUGAAUUUCUUGAAAUUCAAGAAAGUAUUCUCUUGUUUAUAUUGUGUAUAUUUUGGUCUUUGCUGUUCUGUUAGGUAAUUUUGGUGUGUGUGUGUGUGUGUGUGUGUGUGUGUGUGUGUGUGUAACACACAUUGAAACCAUUGUGGUGAAUGAUCGGUGUAGAGUGAAAUUGCCCAUAGAUUCUGAUCUUGAAUCAGUUUUGCAUUUCCCCCACUGUUUUAUGUUAGGAUUUGUGGAGGUGAAGAGCUGAUCCAAGAUCUGUUCCUAGGAGAAACUUUACCCCGUACAUCAUGUGUUUUCUCUUCUGUAUUUGUUAGGGUCCUUGCUAUUUGGGGUGCUUGGGACGUCCCAACUCUGUCAUCCCAUUCAAGUUGAAAUUUAAACUAGUCUAGGUAAGGGUUAAGGUUCGGUUCGAGGUUAAGGGCUCAGACACAGCAGUAGUGUUUUCUGGUCCAGAGUACUUGGCCUCUCUGAAUGUAAUUUGUGAACCGAGUGCGCACAGAUUUUACAUGUCGAAUCAGGUGAAAUGUGUCUGUGGUCAGAUGUCUAUAAAGGUCCCUAAACCACAGUGCGCUGAACGAUCGACAGACCAACGCUAAAUCCCCAUUCGGUGCCAUAUAUGCAAGCCUUUCAAGUUAGGUUUAGGGUAGGGACGUCCCAACCAUUCCGAUAGCACUAACCCAUUAGUUUGUGUGUUUGGUUGAGCAGCAAGACACCGGGACUUCCUUAGUGGUUACCUGAGUUACCUGUGUUGUUUCCAGACACGUUGUCAGGGUGAUACUGGUGUAAAUAGCUGAUUGGACAAUGCUGUGAUUGAGUACAGGGGUGUAUUCACUAGGAAAUUAACAGAAGCAAGCGGGACAAAAUGGGGAGGAGACCUACCUAAAAAAUGUUUUGCUACAGUUGGUGUGCACAAAUAGACACCUCAACACUUUGGUUACACCAAUGUAGACUACACCUAUUAUGUAAAUAAUUAUUUCACAUAUUUUAGUUAAUGUAUUAUUUUGGGGGGGUGAAUUAAAUAAAUGUUAUUAGAAAGCAUUUAGAAUGUAUUGAAGACAGGAAGAGAUGUGGUAAUGUUGUUUUCUAUGGGACCAGACAGGAAGAGAGGUGGUAAUGUUGUUUUCUAUGGGACCAGACAGGAAGAGAUGGUAAUGUUGUUUUCUAUGGGACAGAACCUCAUCCCUGUGAUGAAAUUCCUGCUUCUCAAAUGGCGCCCUAGUCCUCUACUAUUGACCAGGGUAGUGCACUAUAAAAGGACUAUGGUGCCGUUUGGGAAGCACGGUAGACUUUAACAUUUUGUAUUUGUUGAAGGAAUGAUCUGAUUGGGACUUUGUAUUGCUAAAUGUUUCCUAUUGUAUCUCUGUAGAAUCAAAUGAACAUGUCAUUACUAAUAUAUUAAAGAUCCAUUUGUAUGUGUUGUGUUUGAGAUUUUACUGUGGGAGAUGUUUCUGACUUACACUACCUUCUCAGUAGCUUGAUUUCCAUCCAAUUGGCGAUGUGAUUUCUAUGGGAAUGUUCUAGAAUCCACGUAAUGAAAAUAUCCACAUUUUCACACCAGUGGAAUGUUUGCACCUGAUGGAUUUGUUGCAGA
ensembl:lncRNA